rnacentral:snRNA from 1 species
AUCGCUUCUCGGCCUUUUGGCUAAGAUCAAGUGUAAAACUGUUCCUAAAGCUUGAAUAUAGUAACCUUAAUGCCCAAGUUAAGAUAGAUGUAUUUGUUUUUAUUUUAUGUGUAUGAGUAUUUGUCUACAUAUAUGUCUGUUCUCUUUGUUUGUGCCUGGUGCAGACAGAUGUCA